rnacentral:sRNA from 1 species
GCACGGUGGGAACUCGAUCCCUUACGCGA